ACCAACCAGGGGAUUGCCCUCAGUAACGGCGAGUGAAAGCGGCCAACAGCUCAAAUUUGAAAUCUGGCCCCGCUCGGGGUCCGAGUUGUAAUUUGUAGAGAGUGCUUCGGGGGAGGCCGCGGUCUAAGUCCGUUGGAACACGGCGUCAUAGAGGGUGAGAAUCCCGUCUGCGACCGUGGCUCGAACCCAUGUGAAGCCUCUUCGACGAGUCGAGUUGUUUGGGAAUGCAGCUCAAAAUGGGUGGUAAAUUUCAUCUAAAGCUAAAUACCGGCUGGAGACCGAUAGCGCACAAGUAGAGUGAUCGAAAGAUGAAAAGCACUUUGGAAAGAGAGUCAAACAGUACGUGAAAUUGUUGAAAGGGAAGCGCUUGCAACCAGACCUGCCCGCGGGCGAUCAGCCGCUGUUCUCAGCGGUGCACUCGCCCCGCGAUCAGGCCAGCAUCGGUUUCGGCGGCCGGAUAAAGGCCUUGGGAACGUAGCUCCCCCUCGGGGGAGUCUUAUAGCCCUCGGUGCAAUGCGGCCAGCCGAGACCGAGGACCGCGCUUCGGCUAGGAUGCUGGCGUAAUGGUUGUAAGCGACCCGUCUUGAAACACGGACCAAGGAGUCUAACAUCUAUGCGAGUGUUUGGGUGUCAAACCCAUGCGCGGAAUGAAAGUGAACGGAGGUGAGAACCCUGAAGGGCGCAUCAUCGACCGAUCCAGAUGUCUUCGGAUGGAUUUGAGUAUGAGCAUAGCUGUUGGGACCCGAAAGAUGAUGAACUAUGCCUGAAUAGGGUGAAGCCAGAGGAAACUCUGGUGGAGGCUCGCAGGCGGUUCUGACGUGCAAAUCGAUCGUCAAAUUUGGGUAUAGGGGGCGAAAGACUAAUCGAAUCAUCUAGUAGCUGGUUCCUGCCGAAGUUC
rnacentral:rRNA from 1 species